GAUGAACGCUGGCGGCGUGCCUAAUACAUGCAAGUCGAGCGAACGGACGAGAAGCUUGCUUCUCUGAUGUUAGCGGCGGACGGGUGAGUAACACGUGGAUAACCUACCUAUAAGACUGGGAUAACUUCGGGAAACCGUAGCUAAUACCGGAUAAUAUUUUGAACCGCAUGGUUCAAAAGUGAAAGACGGUCUUGCUGUCACUUAUAGAUGGAUCCGCGCUGCAUUAGCUAGUUGGUAAGGUAACGGCUUACCAAGGCAACGAUGCAUAGCCGACCUGAGAGGGUGAACGGCCACACUGGAACUGAGACACGGUCCAGACUCCUACGGGAGGCAGCAGUAGGGAAUCUUCCGCAAUGGGCGAAAGCCUGACGGAGCAACGCCGCGUGAGUGAUGAAGGUCUUCGGAUCGUAAAACUCUGUUAUUAGGGAAGAACAUAUGUGUAAGUAACUGUGCACAUCUUGACGGUACCUAAUCAGAAAGCCACGGCUAACUACGUA
rnacentral:rRNA from 1 species